ensembl:lncRNA
GAGCAUUUUUGUUUGGUACUCCUACUUCCUUAACCCACUGUUGCUGUAGUUAUAAUGCUAUAAGUAGAAAAGGCGUGCGUCUCCUCUCUCUUUCCACUUGGAGACUUUAUUUACCGUCACCAACGUGACUCCACAGAUGACUCAUUCCCACAAAGCCCGGUUGAUGCGCACAGAGCUCAGAGUCUGAUCUUAACCUGCGACGAAGACUCAACUUGCAGGCGAGCUCCCUCUGGAUGUUUCUAGGUUAUCCAGCAGCGGCUCCUGGUCGCAGUUUGGGGGUAAUUCUCUAUAAAUGUUUAUGUUGACAUUCACCGGUUGGCGCAGGUCCUGCUCCUUUUCCAUCAUCUGAAACAAGUGAAGUACAUUUCCGCCUCUUGGGGCUGAAAUGAUCAGCUGGCCCCGUGGUUCACGGUUGUCCGUGCUCUGUAUUUCUUCGAGUUGAUUCUGACCCAUCGUGCAGGUACUUAUGUCAAAGCUACUUGGGAUCAUUCAGCUGCAGGGUCAGAUCUGACACAGCAGCGCCAUCUGUCUGGAUGUCGCACAGCAAAGUAUUUACUGGUGUCAUUCUGAAUAAAUCACCGACUGAGUUUUCAUCCAGUCUGGCAAAACUCCAGAGUGGAAGUGCUCCAAUAAACCAGUCGUUUAAUAGUAUAUAAGUACAUCUGUAAAAAAAAAAAAAAGUGAUUUCCAUUACUCACCAAUUUUUGUGCCUUCACGCUGACGCCGUCUGACACUUCUUCUCAUUCCGGCCGCCAAAAGUCCCCGCUCACACCCUGGAGUCUGCCGAAGGAACCAGCGGUUGCCGUGCAGAUGCACCUUACCUGGUGUCCUUCCAACCACUCUGCCACGUCUCCGCGUCACGGCAGACACCGGCUCCCAUUCUAGAAUCACAUCGUAUAAACUUGCAGGUGUGCCAUGUAUACUUUUAGCAUUGAUAUCUAUAACGUAACAUCUCCGCUGUGCCAUUGGUGGCUGAAAGAAGGUUUAGCCUCAGUUCUUCUUUGUUUUCAUCUUUGUUGAAUCAACAAGCUAUGAUGAAAUAGGCCUCAGACUCAAAUGCCGGCAAUGUACAAAAAGAUUUUACAAC